GCCCGGGUAGCUCAGCCUGGAUAGAGCGCCGGGCUGUGGACCCGGAGGUCCCGGGUUCAAAUCCCGGCCCGGGCC
rnacentral:tRNA from 6 species